rnacentral:rRNA from 11 species
GGCUAACUACGUGCCAGCAGCCGCGGUAAUACGUAGGGUGCAAGCGUUGUCCGGAAUUAUUGGGCGUAAAGAGCUCGUAGGCGGUUUGUCGCGUCUGUCGUGAAAGUCCGGGGCUUAACCCCGGAUCUGCGGUGGGUACGGGCAGACUAGAGUGCAGUAGGGGAGACUGGAAUUCCUGGUGUAGCGGUGAAAUGCGCAGAUAUCAGGAGGAACACCGGUGGCGAAGGCGGUUCUCUGGACCUUUCCUGACGCUGAGGAGCGAAAGCGUGGGGAGCAAACAGGCUUAGAUACCCUGGUAGUCCACGCCGUAAACGGUGGGCACUAGGUGUGGGGGACAUUCCACGUUCUCCGUGCCGUAGCUAACGCAUUAAGUGCCCCGCCUGGGGAGU